UACGGAAUGUGCAAACGUUAUUCGGAAUCACUGGGCUUAAAGAGUCCGUAGGCGGCCAACUAAGUCAGACGUGAAAUCCCCAGGCUCAACCUGGGAACUGCGUCUGAUACUGGAUGGCUUGAAUCCGGGAGAGGGAUGCAGAAUUCCAGGUGUAGCGGUGAAAUGCGUAGAUAUCUGGAGGAAUACCGGUGGCGAAGGCGCAUCCUGGACCGGCAUUGACGCUGAGGAGCGAAAGCCAGGGGAGCAAACGGG
rnacentral:rRNA from 1 species